rnacentral:rRNA from 1 species
CCUACGGGUGGCAGCAGUGAGGAAUAUUGGUCAAUGGCCGGAAGCCUGAACCAGCCAAGCCGCGUGAGGGAAGACGGCCCUAUGCAUUGUAAACCUCUUUUGUCGGGGAGCAAAAGGCGCCACUCGUCCCGUUCUGAGAGUACCCGAAGAAAAAGCAUCGGCUAACUCCGUGCCAGCAGCCGCGGUAAUACGGAGGAUGCGAGCGUUAUCCGGAUUUAUUGGGUUUAACGGGUGCGCAGGCGGACGAUUAAGCCAGCGGUAAAAUUGAGGGGCUCAACCCCGCCGAGCCGUUGAAACUGGGUGUCUUGAGUGAGUGGGAGGUAUGCGGAAUGCGCGGUGUAGCGGUGAAAUGCAUAGAUAUCGCGCAGAACUCCGAUUGCGAAGGCAGCAUGCCGGCGCUCAACUGACGCUGAGGCACGAAAGUGUGGGUAUCGAACAGGAUUAGAUACCCGGGUAGUC